UAUUUUCUACAGGGAGUGCUGUUAGGCGCUCCAAUUUACCAUCUUCCCACCGCCCAUCUAGACUUCUUCCGACCGAUCAUUCAUUGGACUUUAGAUCACCACUAGCAGUAGAAGCUGCAACUUCUCAGAGUCAGCCUUUUGUUAUCCCUGUUCCACCUUUGCCCCAAAAUGUGCAGUCAUUUAGGUGGAAUGAAAGCUCUAG
rnacentral:misc_RNA from 1 species